AUUAAGUUUUAAAAACUCCAUCUUGUGAAAAAUUAUAAACAUUAAGUAAUGUGAUUUCAAGUCAUACAAGUUUUCCUCUAGCAGGUUCCCAAGUUAUUUGUAAACAAAGGCUUUUCUGCUCCAGAACUUUCCUCAGUGCCUUGCAUUCUUCUCUCUCAACCGAACGUCCGGUGAACAGGAUGGUGGAUUAAAGCAAGUCACGGCAGAGAGGAAAUGCCUUGGUAAAGCACUGAA
rnacentral:lncRNA from 1 species